CACUAAACACCCCAUACGUGGCAAUUUUGUAUUGGCUAUUCCUUAAAGACGAAAGGAAAAAAAAUGGCCCAUCUCUCUCUCUCUCUCUUCGACGGUUCUUCUUUCUCUCUUCUUCUUUCUCUUUUGCAUGUUCUUCGUGAUCGAUCACCAGUUCCUCCUCCUCCAAAUCCGUCAAUGAAAUCACCGUGGAGAUUUUGUGCCAUCGAUUUGGUUCCAAUUCGAAAGACCCGGGAGAAAGGAAGAACAUGGAACCAAAUGAAACUGCAUAAAUCUUAUUAGGUGGUACACUCGCUUGACCGAGACAUGCAUCUAGGGAACUAUCCACUCCAUGUCGAUGAAGGUAAAAAUAGCUGUUAGAGUGUGCCACUAUGAUGAGUCUGAUCCAUUACCGGUUCAUCAAGAGGAGAAGGUGUCUUACACAGAAGAUGAUUACAGAGAGUUCUUGGGACGAAGAGGAUGGACAUGUCUGAGAGAGUUUGAUGGAGGGUUUAGGAACAUAGACGGUAUGGUUAGGAAUGUAGAUAGUAUGGAUGAUCUUCAACCUGGUGUCUUGUACCAUGGAAUGAGAUGAGAAAAUAAGUACUGCAGAAAGCUAGAAGAUAGACUCCUUUUUUGUGUGAAUAUGGUCAGAGACUGAUAGACUUUUAAAAAGCUUAAUCCAAGAUAUGUUGUUUGGUGGGUAAA